CUUGGGAAUGACAAAAGUCAGAGCCUUCUUGGUCAGGCCAAAGGGGACCAUUGAGUCCAGGAUCCUCUUCUCCCAAUGGCCAACUAUGGACCCCAAUGGGCAAGCAGGAUUGGAGCCCCAGAGCCUCUCCCUUGACGCCGUUUCCUGCAAGUGGGAUUCAGAAGCAUCGCUGCCUCUGAUGGUGGAGGGAGAGCAGAGCCAGCCGGACUAGGAGCCAUUAGGGCUUUUUCAGCCGUGGCUCCGAUCUGGUGGAACACUCUGUCACAAGAGACCUGGGCCCUGUGGGACUUGACAUCUUUCCGCAGGGCCUGCAAGACAGAGCUGUUCCACCAGGCCUUUGGCCAGGGCACAGCCUGACUCCCUCCCUCGGCAAUCUUCGCGGAGCUCUGGCCCAAUGGUUGCCAGUGGCUUGAAUUAAUUAAUUUUAUAAUGAAUGAUUUUAGAGUGUUGUUUGUGCUGUACUUUUGUACUGUUUUAUUGUUGUUAGCCGCCCUGAGCCCGGCUUCGGCUGGGGAGGGCGGGAUAUAAAUAAAAUUUAUUAUUAUUAUUAUUAGAGCUUUUCCUCCAUGAAUCUGUCUAGUCCGUCUUUCAGGCCACCCAGGUUGACAUCUGAUGUCUUUCCACAGGGAGGGAGCCACUGCCAAGAAGGCCCUUUGCCUGGUACCCUGUAGCUGAAUCACCGGAGGAGGAGGACCUCAGUGUCUGGG